rnacentral:lncRNA from 1 species
UUGAUUUGGGCAUUUUUUGCCCCAAAAAUUUAAGAAAUGGAAUGGAUAUCAGGUCUUCACGUUUUAGGCAUUUCUUGAGUAAGUGUUAUUACUAAUCUAUCCUUUCCUUUUGUACAAUCUACUCAUUGUUUCUUCUUCUCUGACCACAACCACCGUAUUUCUCCGAUGACAAUUUUGAUUUUCCGGCCACAACCAUUAUUGCUUUUUGAAGAAGAAAACUAAACCCUAGGAUAAUAUUUAGUAAACCCAAGGGCUUCUAUCAUAAACUCUUAUCAAAUCAAACUUCUAAUUCAUAUUUAAAUCUAAACCAAAUUAAAAAAAAUUACAUGUUUGCAAUUGACAAAUCUUGAAGAAAAUCAAGCGAGACGAUUGAAGCUCUUCACGGCGAGACGAUUGAAGCUUUGACGGCGAUCGUCACCAUAAUCGAUUCGGAGCUCACCAUCGUCAUCGUUACCGGAUCUCAUCGGAGAUCUAAUCAGCGUCACCACAAUCUCGUUCACUGGAUCUCAUCAUCGUCAUCACCGGAUCGGUAUCUUAUACGUGCCCAGAUCAAUAUGAAUUUCACUCCUCAAAAUUUUGAAUCGAAAUCGUAGAUCCGAGGUCGUAGUGAAAAUCUCUUUCCAAAUUAGAUAGAAGCUCAAAAUUUCGUUUGAUUUUGUGUAGCUAAAAGGAAAUUUGGCUUGGGAGAGAGAAAGAUAACAGAGGCGAGAAGAGAGAAAGAGAGAUAACAGAGGUUGAGGAUGUGAGAAGGGGAGGGUAAAAAUGUCUUUUCCCUUAUAGUAGAAAUUCCUAAAUACGUAAGACCUUGCAAUCAGUCCUAAAUUGAUAAUUUUCCUGG